GUUCCUACGUCGCUCAAUCCCCUUGCAGCCGCCACCGAUCCCCUCCCCCAUCUCCCUUCCUCAAACGCCGCCGCCCGUCGCUGCCGCCCCCGCCUCCAGCCGCGGCUGUCGCACCCACCUCCAGCCGCGGCCGCCGCCCCACCUCUGGCUCGACUCCACGAUCCCCUUCCUAUCGAUCACCCACGCCCCCACCGCUUCGCAUCUGAUCACCACCAGCGCCCGUGCUCUUCUGGCCACCAACCGCCAUGCAGUCGUCCGCGCCGGACCUUCGCGCUGUGUUCCUCCGUGCGAGGCCGCUGCCACUGCAACGGCUCUCUCGGAUCCAACACGAAGCUUGUGACGAAGGGCUUGGAGUUGGCCAUGAGUGCUCAAGGUGAAGUGGCGGCAUGCGUUUCUGUAGGGGGGAGGAGCGUGCAUUAGGGAAGUCAGCGGCCGGACCCGAGCGCGGAUGAGGCCAGGUUGCCACUUGGGGCCCAUGUCGGUCAGAUCCAGGCAACACAUGGGAGUCAGCGUGGCGGUGGCGUAGUGCUGAGGCAGGAAGGAGGCAUGGGACGACACAUCGGCGGGUCAUGGUGCACUGCACGAGAUGAGUGACAUGAUGUAAACAACGCUGUAGGCGUUGAUGCCACACAUGUGUCAUUUUCUACUACCGAUACUGAUUCUUGAGGGCUACUGGCACUGCCACCAGGUAUGAGCAGGAACUGCCUCCAUUGAGAACUCUGGGUACUGCCGCCGCCGACGACCAUCGAGCACUGAGUUGGAACUACCACCAUCAAGGAUGACAGGCCGCCAUUGAGGUUGAUUGUUUUGGCCGCGCCUUCCCACUACCAGUCUGCACCAUCACUGAUGUAUUCUGAGCAGCCGGAGAACCCCUACGGUUGCAAGAUUCCUGCAACUUGUAUUUGAGAUGCAUGCCCUAAUCAUCUUGGUUGUGGUCAGGUGUGGUAUGUCGGAAUCCCGUCAGAAGAAUGUGGUACAUAAUAAUAGUUUCAUCAUCUCAUCUUCAUGCUACUUCCAGUUAAGUAAACUUACUUCUCCUUUUGAUCUAUAGUUCAUUUCUAUUAUCGGAAGCGAUCUGAACUAAAAUAAAAUUUAUGUGGUUUCUUAGCAUUUUCUAUCUCAAACUUUACAUCAUUAUGUCAGGUGCUAGAAAAAUAAAUAACUGAGACAUGUUUUAAGGAAUUCAAAGAUGAGUUCCCUUUGAAGAGCAAGCAAUCAUAGUACGGAGCAAGAUGAUUCGAAAUAGAGGUUCCCAUAAUUAGAGGCAAUUAAAUCAUAUAUGAUGAUUAGCCUAAUGUGCUGCUAUACCAUUUAAAACAUUUUUUGACCUGGGAGCAAUUAGCAAACUCUGACCUCUUUGUAAUGUUUGAUUACCAUUUAUGUAGGGCUCUGUACUGCAGGACAACAUAUUCACUAUCAAUAUAUGGUUUAUUUCCAAUAUAAGGUGUAUGUCAAGUUAUACACUGGCUACAGAAAGUGAGUGUGAGUGGUAGACUGGAAAUUAAAGACUGUAACUUGAUAGCAUCUGGAUAAAUGUUAAUAAAAAUUGUAUAAAAAUAAAAAGGUUAAGUCUGCUGGUUCGAAUAAGCAGUCAUUUGUCUUCCUUCCACAGUUUCCACUAUAUGUUAUUUUUAUUGGUUUUUCCCUCUAGACUUCAAUUUUUUUAUACCAUGGUGAGUUGCCUUUAGUUAGUUUAUUGAAUUUGAUACUUCCAUCAGUUCAUUGCCUUUAGUUAGUUCUAUAACAAGUUUCAAUCAAUUGUUCAUCCCUACGUCAACGAAUAGGUAUGGAGUUGCUUAUUGUUACUUCAAAGUAGCAAGACUGUGUGAUGAUUCCUACAUAGUGAUUAACAUAUCUAUGCCAUGUACAUUUAUUCUUUGGAACUGGAGGUAAUUUCUUCUAAUGAUCACAAGUUAUUUAUGCCUCUUUUGUACUGAGACCUCUAGAAGUGGAGGGGUUGAAGAAGGUCAAGUGCAAGAUGAAGAUUGAUAGGAAGAUUUACAGCCCAAUGUUGAAGUAUGUAACCCAUUUUGUUUGCAUGUAGCUACAAUCCAAGAGGAAGAAAUGCAGAAGAAUUUGUUCAGGCUUCGGACAUGUGUGGUUGAGGAGAGAGCGACAUCCAACCACUACAAACUUGACAUAUGUGCAAAGGUACAAGUAAUACAUGCAAUUGUCAAGGAAAAUAACAUAUAUGUGGUGAACAACUCCUAUAGGUAGAGUGAAUGUCGGUUGUUUUACAACAGAUGGGAUGUCCUUCAGUUCAUCUUCUAUGCUAUCGGUGAUCGACUUUGUUUGACCCUUGCAGCAAGUGGCCGUCAUACCCGCCGGCGAUGCGUCCGUGCCUAGCGCCUGCCACCGCGCGCCAUCGCUCAUUGUACACCACCUCGCCGUCCUAAGCUGAGUCCCCACGGGCCACACUCGUCAGCGGCGGCGGCGCCACCCUCAUCCGGUAUUUUGAGGUUUUCACGCAGAUCUAUUGUUCAGUCUCAGUGCAGCGUGCCUCGACUCCGCAUGAUGAAUUUGCUAGUUGCUUGUAUAUUCUACUAAGAUUGACGUGAGUCUUCUUGGGCCUGAUUCAUUCAAGGAAACUAUCUACAGACAAUUAUUUCAUUUAUUUAUUUGAAACCAUUUUUUCUUUGAGGAGAGUAUACAGAAAGACGAAUAGACAUGAAGAAUAAGCUCCAUAGCAAAGGGAUUUUGGUAGUACAUGCCAUGUUUAUGCUCACUGUUGAAUAGUCUGUAUAUAACUAUUUAUGCAAUACUUGGACCAUAGGAGCAAUUCAUUCUGUAUA